rnacentral:rRNA from 1 species
UACGUAGGUGGCAAGCGUUGUCCGGAUUUACUGGGCGUAAAGAGCGCGCAGGCGGUCGUUCAAGUCGCGUGUGAAAGCCCCCGGCUCAACUGGGGAGGGUCACGCGAUACUGAUCGACUCGAAGGCAGGAGAGGGUAGUGGAAUUCCCGGUGUAGUGGUGAAAUGCGUAGAUAUCGGGAGGAACACCAGUGGCGAAGGCGACUACCUGGCCUGUUCUUGACGCUGAGGCGCGAAAACUAGGGGAGCAAACGGG